UAACCAGCCCUUCCUACUACUUCAGUAUCGCAGCAGCCUAAGACACCCCAGUCCUCGCCUGCCAGAGCUGGAGCCUCACAUUGGAAUGGUGUGAGAUGGCGCCCAUCAACCCCCGCCCUCUUCUCUGUACCUCUUGCUUUGAGGCCAUCAACGUUUCCCAUCACUGCCGUGUGAAAAGUAGAGAAGCCUGAGCCGAAAAGAUUGGGGGUCAACUUGAUGCUAAACAUGUACUCAACUGUCUGACCACUCUGGACACUGCCUACAAGCCCUUUUUGCCAGAGGAUUCUCCACAAACAUAUUCCAGGAGGUUCUGCCAGGUACUUUGUCUGCAGCUACAGCAGAGUACCUGUACCCACCGCAGUUGGCUCCAGGAUGGCCUCCUGCUGUGGACAUUAAAAUCUGCGAUGUGCAGCCUAUGUAUGGAACAGCAGCAUCGACGUGGAACCUGCUUGGAUCCCUCACCCUUUUUUCCUUCCUUCUAUCUCUCUCUCUCUUUUUGUUAAUGUCAUUGUUGAGACAGGGUCUCCCUAUCUAGUCCAGGAUGGCCUUGAACCUAUGGCGAUCCUCCUGCCUCAUGCUCCCAAUUUCUGGAACUAUAAACAUAUACCAUUAUGCCUGACUUUUCAGAUACUUUUAAUCAUGCCUAGGUUAUUAAAAUACUACAAGACCUUAA